rnacentral:rRNA from 1 species
GAGUUUGAUCCUGGCUCAGGAUGAACGCUAGCGGCAGGCUUAACACAUGCAAGUCGAGGGGUAACGGGGAAGCUUGCUUCCGCCGACGACCGGCGCACGGGUGCGUAACGCGUAUACAAUCUACCUUGUACUGGGGUAUAGCCUUUAGAAAUGAAGAUUAAUCCCCCAUAGUCUCUUAGAGUGGCAUCACUUCUAGAGUAAAGGUUACGGUAUAAGAUGAGUAUGCGUUCUAUUAGUUUGUUGGUGUGGUAACGGCACACCAAGACUACGAUAGAUAGGGGCCCUGAGAGGGGGAUCCCCCACACUGGUACUGAGACACGGACCAGACUCCUACGGGAGGCAGCAGUGAGGAAUAUUGGACAAUGGAGGCAACUCUGAUCCAGCCAUGCCGCGUGCAGGAAGACUGCCCUAUGGGUUGUAAACUGCUUUUAUACAGGAAGAAACACCUCUACGUGUAGAGGCUUGACGGUACUGUAAGAAUAAGGAUCGGCUAACUCCGUGCCAGCAGCCGCGGUAAUACGGAGGAUCCAAGCGUUAUCCGGAAUCAUUGGGUUUAAAGGGUCCGUAGGUGGAUAACUAAGUCAGAGGUGAAAUCUUGCAGCUCAACUGUAAAAUUGCCUUUGAAACUGGUUAUCUUGAGUUAUUAUGAAGUAGUUAGAAUAUGUAGUGUAGCGGUGAAAUGCAUAGAUAUUACAUAGAAUACCAAUUGCGAAGGCAGAUUACUAAUAAUUAACUGACACUGAUGGACGAAAGCGUGGGUAGCGAACAGGAUUAGAUACCCUGGUAGUCCACGCCGUAAACGAUGGUUACUAGCUGUUUGGACUUCGGUCUGAGUGGCUAAGCGAAAGUGAUAAGUAACCCACCUGGGGAGUACGUUCGCAAGAAUGAAACUCAAAGGAAUUGACGGGGGCCCGCACAAGCGGUGGAGCAUGUGGUUUAAUUCGAUGAUACGCGAGGAACCUUACCAGGGCUUAAAUGUAAGUUGCAUUAGCUAGAGAUAGCUAUUUCUUCGGACCACUUACAAGGUGCUGCAUGGUUGUCGUCAGCUCGUGCCGUGAGGUGCCAGGUUAAGUCCUAUAACGAGCGCAACCCCUGUUGUUAGUUGCCAGCGAGUCAUGUCGGGAACUCUAACAAGACUGCCAGUGCAAACUGUGAGGAAGGUGGGGAUGACGUCAAAUCAUCACGGCCCUUACGUCCUGGGCUACACACGUGCUACAAUGGUAGGUACAGAGAGCAGCCACUGCGCGAGCAGGAGCGAAUCUAUAAAACCUAUCACAGUUCGGAUCGGAGUCUGCAACUCGACUCCGUGAAGCUGGAAUCGCUAGUAAUCGGAUAUCAGCCAUGAUCCGGUGAAUACGUUCCCGGGCCUUGUACUCACCGCCCGUC